AGUUUGAUCCUGGCUCAGAUUGAACGCUGGCGGCAGGCCUAACACAUGCAAGUCGAACGGUAACAGGAAGAAGCUUGCUUCUUUGCUGACGAGUGGCGGACGGGUGAGUAAUGUCUGGGAAACUGCCUGAUGGAGGGGGAUAACUACUGGAAACGGUAGCUAAUACCGCAUAACGUCGCAAAACCAAAGAGGGGGACCUUCGGGCCUCUUGCCAUCGGAUGUGCCCAGAUGGGAUUAGCUAGUAGGUGGGGUAACGGCUCACCUAGGCGACGAUCCCUAGCUGGUCUGAGAGGAUGACCAGCCACACUGGAACUGAGACACGGUCCAGACUCCUACGGGAGGCAGCAAAAGGGCGAAUU
rnacentral:rRNA from 1 species